rnacentral:rRNA from 1 species
AUGGACUGGUACGAGUGGCUGCGCAGGGCGGGGCUCGGCGAGGACCUGGCCGCCGAGUACGCGCUCCUCUUCGCGCGCAACGAGCUCGGCGCCGCCGACGUCCGCCACCUCGACCACGCCUUCCUCGCCACCAUGGGCGUCGCCGUCGCCAAGCACCGCCUCGAGAUCCUCAAGCUCGCCCGGAAGGAGUCCUCCGCCUCGGCCGCCAUCACCGUCCUGCCGUGGCGCGCCACCAGGCUGCUCGCCGCGGCCGCGCAGCGGUCCGCGCGCUCCCUGGCCGGCUGCCUCCGCUCGGCCGCGCGCCGGGGCAGGUCCAAGGCCGCCGUCGCGCCGCGCCCGCUGGCGCUCUGCCACCAGGGCGUGGCAGGGCCGGCGCGGUGGAAGGGCGCGCCGACGGCCGCGGACGGCCGGGAGGUCACGAAGAGGAAGCUGGCGGCUCUCCUGACGCGCGUGGGCAAGCCCAUGCACACUCUCACGAACAGCGCCCAAAAGCCAACAACGAAGAAAGGCGCCGUCGCGUCGCCGACGACGUACAUGGCCACGGCGAUCGUGGCCGGGUGCUUCGCGAGCACGGAGACCUGCGACAGCGACUACGACGCCGACGACGAUGAGGACGAGGACGCCGAGAUGGGCGACGGCGGCGGCGAGGACCCGGAGACGCCGUGGGAGUCCAUGUUCCAGGAUCUGAAUCCCACCUAG